rnacentral:rRNA from 1 species
AUGAACGCUGGCGGCGUGCUUAACACAUGCAAGUCGCACGGGAUCCAAGGGGUGCUUGCACUUUUUGGUGAGAGUGGCGAACGGGUGAGUAACACGUGAGUAACCUGUCCUUUUCUUUGGGAUAAGCAUUCGAAAGGGUGUUUAAUACCUUAUGUUCUGUCUGCCUCGCAUGGGGUGGGUGGGAAAGGCUUUGGCCGGAUUUGGGUGGGCUCGCGGUCUAUCAGCUUGUUGGUGGGGUGAUGGCUUACCAAGGCUUUGACGGGUAGCCGGCCUGAGAGGGUGGUCGGUCACAUUGGGACUGAGAUACGGCCCAGACUCCUGCGGGAGGCAGCAGUGGGGGAUAUUGCACAAUGGGCGAAAGCCUGAUGCAGCGACGCCGCGUGGGGGAUGAAGGCCUGCGGGUUGUAAACUUCUUUUGCUCUGAACAAGGCAUGCCAGUGGGUGUGUUGAGUGUAGGGGUUGAUUAGCGCCGGCUAACUACGUG